AUUGAACGCUGGCGGCAGGCCUAACACAUGCAAGUCGAGCGGGGUUUUCGGACCUAGCGGCGGACGGGUGAGUAAUGCGUAGGAAGCUACCCGAUAGAGGGGGAUACCAGUUGGAAACGACUGUUAAUACCGCAUAAUGUCUACGGACCAAAGUGUGGGACCUUCGGGCCACAUGCUAUCGGAUGCGCCUACGUGGGAUUAGCUAGUUGGUGAGGUAAUGGCUCACCAAGGCGACGAUCUCUAGCUGGUUUGAGAGGAUGAUCAGCCACACUGAGACUGAGACACGGUCCAGACUCCUACGGGAGGAGGCAGUGGGGCAUAUGGGCACAUGGGCACAAGCCUGAUCCCGCCAUGCCGCGUGUGUGAAGGAGUCCUUCGGGUUGUAAAGCCCUUUGAGGGAGGAGAAAGGGUUGUGUGUUAAUAGUACACAGCUUUGACGUUACUCGCAGAAGAAGCACCGGCUAACUCUGUGCCAGCCGCCGCAGUAA
rnacentral:rRNA from 1 species